rnacentral:rRNA from 1 species
AACGAACGCUGGCGGCAUGCCUAACACAUGCAAGUCGAACGAGACCUUCGGGUCUAGUGGCGCACGGGUGCGUAACGCGUGGGAACCUGCCCUUAGGUUCGGAAUAACUCCCCGAAAGGGGUGCUAAUACCGGAUAAUGUCUUCGGACCAAAGAUUUAUCGCCUUUGGAUGGGCCCGCGUUGGAUUAGCUAGUUGGUAGGGUAAAAGCCUACCAAGGCGACGAUCCAUAGCUGGUCUGAGAGGAUGAUCAGCCACACUGGGAAUGAGACACGGCCCAGACUCGUACGGGAGGCAGCAGUGGGGAAUAUUGGAGAAUGGGCGAAAGACUGAUAAAGCAAUGCCGGGUGAGUGAUGAAGGCCGUAGGGUUGUAAAGCUCUUUUACACGGGAUGAUAAUGACAGUACCGGGAGAAUAAGCACCGGCUAACUCCGUG